CGUAUUGAGUUCAAAACAAGUUAAACCAUGUAAUUUUCCAUAAUUUAAAUUAAAUUCAUAAGUGGUUGAAGUUCAUACAAUUUCAAGUCAAAAUACAUCCAAUUUGGGGAAAACAUAUUUUCCAUUCCAACCAUUUAAUUAAAGAACUAAUUCAGUUCCAAAAACACCAAUUUAAAACAUGAAUAAUCAAUUCAAAGUAUGGGACAAAUAAUUAAAUCAAUAACAA
rnacentral:lncRNA from 1 species